GAUGAACGCUGGCGGCGUGCCUAAUACAUGCAAGUCGAGCGAACAGAUGAGGAGCUUGCUCCUCUGACGUUAGCGGCGGACGGGUGAGUAACACGUGGAUAACCUACCUAUAAGUCUGGGAUAACUUCGGGAAACCGGAGCUAAUACCGGAUAAUAUAUUGAACCGCAUGGUUCAAUAGUGAAAGACGGUUUUGCUGUCACUUAUAGAUGGAUCCGCGCCGCAUUAGCUAGUUGGUAAGGUAACGGCUUACCAAGGCAACGAUGCGUAGCCGACCUGAGAGGGUGAUCGGCCACACUGGAACUGAGACACGGUCCAGACUCCUACGGGAGGCAGCAGUAGGGAAUCUUCCGCAAUGGGCGAAAGCCUGACGGAGCAACGCCGCGUGAGUGAUGAAGGUCUUCGGAUCGUAAAACUCUGUUAUUGGGGAAGAACAAAUGUGUAAGUAACUAUGCACGUCUUGACGGUACCUAAUCAGAAAGCCACGGCUAACUACGUG
rnacentral:rRNA from 1 species